CUGAAACAGUUGUUAUGGAGGACUGAGUUAGUGAGACCUGGCCUGCCACAGCCAGAGAAAGCCCUCAGUUUGUCCUGGAUGGUGGAUGCCCUAGGGAUAUGGUUGCAGCACCCACAGCAUCUGCAGCAGUCCAGAAGCCACUGGGCUUCCUGGAGUGUUUUUGGAGCAGUGAGUACCGCAGACUUUAGCAAGCACACUGGAUGAGAAUUCAACAGUGACCUUGCUUGAGAAAGACGAACAACACUUCAGGCAGCAUGUCAAAUAGAUUCAAGUUUCAAGAAAUCAGGAAGAAACCAUCUUGGAAAACAAAUAUUGAAACUAGAAUAAGACUUCAAAAUAAACAGGAAGGACUUAAAGUUUAUGAAAUAGAAAAAGAUAAUAUAAAGGAUCAGUAUAACUAAAAGCUAGUCUUCAAAAGGACAGGUAAGAUACAAGGCUCCUGCUCUGUGUCUGUGUUCGUGAGUUCAUGCAUGCAUGUGUGUGUUUGGUGGGG
rnacentral:lncRNA from 1 species